UCUUUUCAGAAGGUUUGCCUUAAAUGACUAGAUAACAAUCAAACAGAACUAGUCCUCCUGCUUUUGGAUGCAAAGAGUUUUAUUCUACUUAUAUUUGAUUGAAGCCCUGUAACAAAGGGGAUGUAGCUCAGAUGGUAGAGCGCUCGCUUAGCAUGCGAGAGGUACGGGGAUCGAUACCCCGCAUCUCCAAAUCUUUUUAAUUUUUUUUUUUGGAUUUCUUGCUUCCAUGACCCGAUUCCCAAACCCUCUUUCCUUGCUCAGAAAUGGGAUUUCAUUCCUUAUUCUAUAGUUUUUUAUUUUAUGACUCUUGUAACAGUUUCCUCAAAAUAUAACUUUGUUAUGGUGCCUUACUUGGAGCCAGCUCCAAGCACAUUUUAAUUUUAUUUUAUGAUUCUUGUAACAGUUGCCUCAAAAUAUAUAAUUUUGUUAUUGUGUGUUUACUUGCAGGCAGCUGCAAGGGUAAUGAGAAAAUUUUGCAAAUCAAACCAACUGACAUGGUGAUCGCUGAAUAUGUAAAUAUAUGCGAGAGUGGCUGGUAUUGCUGAUCAGCAACAGUCUAUUUUCGUAGUUUUUGCGAGAUAGCUUCUCUGUUAAUGUCCCUGGGGAGGGGAUUACUGCAAAUGAAAUGAUGUGAUUGACAUGAAUGGAAUUGCUGCUGCUCCCCAUGUGACUUCUCAGAUUGUAAUGGAGAUGGACUCCUCCAGGCUACCUUUCUGCAACUAUAUGACUGGGUUCUGCUUAAGACAGGGAAUAAUGGGUUUUGAUGUGUGCCUGUUUAGUUCUUGCUGCCUUUGCUCUUGUAGUUGUGGUUGUCAUCCAUGACCAAGAACAUGAUUUGUUAAAAACUAACAAAAAAUAUGAUACUG
rnacentral:lncRNA from 1 species